UACAGAGGUCCCAAGCGUUGUUCGGAUUCACUGGGCGUAAAGGGUGCGUAGGUGGUGAGGUAAGUCGGAUGUGAAAUCUCCGGGCUCAACCCGGAAAUGGCAUUGGAAACUACCUUGCUAGGGGGUUUGAGGGGGGACUGGAAUACUUGGUGUAGCAGUGAAAUGCGUAGAUAUCAAGUGGAACACCAGUGGCGAAGGCGAGUCCCUGGAAAAUACCUGACACUGAGGCACGAAAGCUAGGGGAGCAAACAGG
rnacentral:rRNA from 1 species